GACGAACGCUGGCGGCGCGCCUAACACAUGCAAGUCGAACGAGCGAGAGAGAGCUUGCUUUCUCAAGCGAGUGGCGCACGGGUGAGUAACGCGUGAGGAACCUGCCUCAAAGAGGGGGACAACAGUUGGAAACGACUGCUAAUACCGCAUAAGCCCACGACCCGGCAUCGGGUAGAGGGAAAAGGAGCAAUCCGCUUUGAGAUGGCCUCGCGUCCGAUUAGCUAGUUGGUGAGGUAACGGCCCACCAAGGCGACGAUCGGUAGCCGGACUGAGAGGUUGAACGGCCACAUUGGGACUGAGACACGGCCCAGACUCCUACGGGAGGCAGCAGUGGGGAAUAUUGCACAAUGGGGGAAACCCUGAUGCAGCGACGACGCGUGGAGGAAGAAGGUGUUCGGAUUGUAAACUACUGUUGUUGAGGAAGAUAAUGACGGUACUCAAAAAGGAAGUGACGGCUAACUACGUG
rnacentral:rRNA from 1 species